ensembl:lncRNA
CACAACUUUAGCUACAAGGCAAGCGAUUUUGUUAAGGGGCUUUCAGUACCAUACUAGCCUACUAGACCAAAACACUCCAUAAAGGUCUGAACGCAGCAUGGGAAGCUUUUGCGUUUAAGUGCAUAUUCUCUGAAACCAGCUCCCACUUUCAACCUGGUGUGGGCGCCACAAAGUGCCCUCAUUGAAGACUACCGUGAACACUGCUUUGAUAACUUCUAUUUAGAGCUGGCUCAGGCAGGCCCUUAGAUGAGCUGCUAUAGGUCUAGACAUCCUGGGACACAACUUUUAUACAAUUUCAGGUCCCUAGAGUCAGUGCUUGCCUCACAGGUGUCUAUGGAUCAUGGUUAAAUAUCCAUUUUUGACCACAACCCCAGAGAAUUGACACAACAAGUUAAGGCAAUAGUUUUAUUGAAAGCAGAGAUAAGUAGGUACAAGCAAAAACAUCUUAACUAAUGCACUGUCCCAAAAACUGUUUCUAGGCGACGAGGUCCGAGGUGCCCGUGUAGCCGUCGGUCAGAGUUAAGUUGCCGUCGUCGCCCAGGGUGCCAUUGCCAGUGUAGAUGUCGGCCAAAGUUACAUUGUGGUCGUCGCCCAGGGUGCCGUUGCCUGAGUAGCCAUCUGCCAAAGUACCAUUGCUGCCAUUGUCGGCCAGGGUGCCAUCGUCGGCCAGGGUGCCGUUGCGGGUGUAGACGUCGCCCAGGGUGUCAUUGCCAUCUGCCAAAGUUCCGUUGCCCGUGUCGACGUCGGCCAGGUUGCCGUUGCCCGUGUAGCCGUCAGCCAAAGUUCCAUUGCUGCCGUCGUCGCCCAGGGUGCCGUUGCCAGUGUAGACGUCAGCAAAAGUCACAUUGCCGUCGUCGCCCAGGGUGCCGUUGCCUGAGUAGCCAUCUGCCAAAGUACCAUUGCUGCCAUUGUCGGCCAGGGUGCCAUCGUCGGCCAGGGUGCCGUUGCGGGUGUAGACGUCGCCCAGGGUGUCAUUGCCAUCUGCCAAAGUUCCGUUGCCCGUGUCGACGUCGGCCAGGUUGCCGUUGCCCGUGUAGCCGUCAGCCAAAGUUCCAUUGCUGCCGUCGUCGCCCAGGGUGCCGUUGCCAGUGUAGACGUCAGCCAAAGUUCCAUUGCUGCCGUCGUCGCCCAGGGUGCCGUUGCCUGUGUAGCCGCCAGGCAAAGUCACGUUGCAGUCGUCGCCCAGGGUGCCGUUGCCAUCUGCCAAAGUUCCGUUGCCCGUCUCGACGUCGGCCAGGGUGCCGUUGCCAGUGUAGACGUCAGCAAAAGUCACGUUGCCGUCGUCGCCCAGGGUGCCGUUGCCAUCUGCCAAAGUUCCGUUGCCCGUGUCGACGUCGGCCAGGUUGCCGUUGCCCGUGUAGCCGUCAGCAAAAGUCACGUUGCCGUCGUCGCCCAGGGUGCCGUUGCCCGUGUAGCCGUCAGCCAAAGUUCCGUUUCCCGUGUAGACGUCAGCUAGGGUCACGUUGCCGUCGUCGCUCAGGGUGCCGUUGCCUGCGUCGGCAUCUGCCAAAGUUCCAUUGCUGCCGUCGUCGCCCAGGGUGCCGUUGCCCGCGUAGACGUCAGCCAAAGUCUCGUUGCCGUCGUCGCCCAGGGUGCCGUUGCCCGCGUAGACGCCAGCCAAAGUACCAUUGCUGCCAUCGUCGCCCAGGGUGCCGUUGCGGGUGUAGACGUCGGACAGGGUGUCGUUGCCAUCUGCCAAAGUUCCGUUGCCCGUGUCGACGUCGGCCAGGGUGCCGUUGCCAGUGUAGACGUCAGCCAAAGUCACGUUGCAGUCGUCGCCCAGGGUGCCGUUGCCCGUGUAGCCGUCAGCCAAAGUUCCAUUGCUGCCGUCGUCGCCCAGGGUGCCGUUGCCCGUGUAGCCGUCAGCCAAAGUUCCGUUGCCCGUGUAGUCAGCUAGGGUCACGUUGCCGUCGUCGCUCAGGGUGCCGUUGCCUGCGUCGGCAUCUGCCAAAGUUCCAUUGCUGCCGUCGUCGCCCAGGGUGCCGUUGCCCGCGUAGACGUCAGCCAAAGUCUCGUUGCCGUCGUCGCCCAGGGUGCCGUUGCCCGCGUAGACGUCAGCCAAAGUACCAUUGCUGCCAUCGUCGCCCAGGGUGCCGUUGCGGGUGUAGACGUCGGACAGGGUGCCGUUGCGGGUGUAGACGUCGGACAGGGUGCCGUUGCCAUCUGCCAAAGUUCCGUUGCCCGUGUCGACGUCGGCCAGGGUGCCGUUGCCCGCGUAGACGUCAGCCAAAGUACCAUUGCUGCCAUCGUCGCCCAGGGUGCCGUUGCCCGUCUCGACGUCGGCCAGGGUGCCGUUGCCAGUGUAGACGUCAGCAAAAGUCACGUUGCCGUCGUCGCCCAGGGUGCCGUUGCCCGUGUAGCCAUCAGCCAAAGUUCCAUUGCUGCCGUCGUCGCCCAGGGUGCCGUUGCCCGUGUAGCCGUCAGCCAAAGUCACGUUUCCGUCGUCGCCCAGGGUGUCGUUGCCAUCUGCCAAAGUUCCGUUGCCCGUCUCGACGUCGGCCAGGGUGCCGUUGCCAGUGUAGACGUCAGCAAAAGUCACGUUGCCGUCGUCGCCCAGGGUGCCGUUGCCCGUGUAGCCGUCAGCCAAAGUUCCGUUUCCCGUGUAGACGUCAGCUAGGGUCACGUUGCCGUCGUCGCUCAGGGUGCCGUUGCCUGCGUCGGCAUCUGCCAAAGUUCCAUUGCUGCCGUCGUCGCCCAGGGUGCCGUUGCCCGCGUAGACGCCAGCCAAAGUACCAUUGCUGCCAUCGUCGCCCAGGGUGCCGUUGCGGGUGUAGACGUCGGACAGGGUGUCGUUGCCAUCUGCCAAAGUUCCGUUGCCCGUGUCGACGUCGGCCAGGGUGCCGUUGCCAGUGUAGACGUCAGCCAAAGUCACGUUGCAGUCGUCGCCCAGGGUGCCGUUGCCCGUGUAGCCGUCAGCCAAAGUUCCAUUGCUGCCGUCGUCGCCCAGGGUGCCGUUGCCCGUGUAGCCGUCAGCCAAAGUUCCGUUGCCCGUGUAGUCAGCUAGGGUCACGUUGCCGUCGUCGCUCAGGGUGCCGUUGCCUGCGUCGGCAUCUGCCAAAGUUCCAUUGCUGCCGUCGUCGCCCAGGGUGCCGUUGCCCGCGUAGACGUCAGCCAAAGUCUCGUUGCCGUCGUCGCCCAGGGUGCCGUUGCCCGCGUAGACGUCAGCCAAAGUACCAUUGCUGCCAUCGUCGCCCAGGGUGCCGUUGCGGGUGUAGACGUCGGACAGGGUGCCGUUGCGGGUGUAGACGUCGGACAGGGUGUCGUUGCCAUCUGCCAAAGUUCCGUUGCCCGUGUCGACGUCGGCCAGGGUGCCGUUGCCCGCGUAGACGUCAGCCAAAGUACCAUUGCUGCCAUCGUCGCCCAGGGUGCCGUUGCGGGUGUAGACGUCGGACAGGGUGUCGUUGCCAUCUGCCAAAGUUCCGUUGCCCGUGUCGACGUCGGCCAGGGUGCCGUUGCCAUCUGCCAAAGUUCCGUUGCCCGUCUCGACGUCGGCCAGGGUGCCGUUGCCAGUGUAGACGUCGGCAAAAGUCACGUUGCCGUCGUCGCCCAGGGUGCCGUUGCCCGUGUAGCCGUCAGCCAAAGUUCCAUUGCUGCCGUCGUCGCCCAGGGUGCCGUUGCCAUCUGCCAAAGUUCCGUUGCCCGUCUCGACGUCGGCCAGGGUGCCGUUGCCAGUGUAGACGUCGGCAAAAGUCACGUUGCAGUCGUCGCCCAGGGUGCCGUUGCCCGUGUAGCCGUCAGCCAAAGUUCCGUUGCCCGUGUAGACGUCAGCUAGGGUCACGUUGCCGUCGUCGCUCAGGGUGCCGUUGCCUGCGUCGGCAUCUGCCAAAGUUCCAUUGCUGCCGUCGUCCAGGGUGCCGUUGCGGGUGUCGUCGCCCAGGGUGCCGUUGCCCGCGUAGACGUCAGCCAAAGUCUCGUUGCAGUCGUCGCCCAGGGUGCCGUUGCCUGCGUAGCCAUCUGCCAAAGUACCAUUGCUGCCAUCGUCGCCCAGGGUGCCGUUGCGGGUGUAGACGUCGGACAGGGUGCCGUUGCCAUCUGCCAAAGUUCCGUUGCCCGUGUCGACGUCGCCCAGGUUGCCGUUGCCCGUGUAGCCGUCAGCCAAAGUUCCAUUGCUGCCGUCGUCGCCCAGGGUGCCGUUGCCAUCUGCCAAAGUUCCGUUGCCCGUCUCGACGUCGGCCAGGGUACCGUUGCCAGUGUAGACGUCAGCAAAAGUCACGUUGCCGUCGUCGCCCAGGGUGCCGUUGCCCGUGUAGCCAUCAGCCAAAGUUCCAUUGCUGCCGUCGUCGCCCAGGGUGCCGUUGCCCGUGUAGCCGUCAGCCAAAGUCACGUUUCCGUCGUCGCCCAGGGUGUCGUUGCCAUCUGCCAAAGUUCCGUUGCCCGUCUCGACGUCGGCCAGGGUGCCGUUGCCAGUGUAGACGUCAGCAAAAGUCACGUUGCCGUCGUCGCCCAGGGUGCCGUUGCCCGUGUAGCCGUCAGCCAAAGUUCCAUUGCUGCCGUCGUCACCCAGGGUGCCGUUGCCCGUGUCGGCAUCUGCCAAAGUUCCAUUGCUGCCGUCGUCGCCCAGGGUGCCGUUGCCCGCGUAGACGUCAGCCAAAGUCUCGUUGCCGUCGUCGCCCAGGGUGCCGUUGCCCGCGUAGACGUCAGCCAAAGUACCAUUGCUGCCAUCGUCGCCCAGGGUGCCGUUGCGGGUGUAGACGUCGGACAGGGUGCCGUUGCGGGUGUAGACGUCGGACAGGGUGUCGUUGCCAUCUGCCAAAGUUCCGUUGCCCGUGUCGUCGUCGGCCAGGGUGCCGUUGCCAGUGUAGACGUCAGCAAAAGUCACGUUGCCGUCGUCGCCCAGGGUGCCGUUGCCAUCUGCCAAAGUUCCGUUGCCCGUCUCGACGUCGGCCAGGGUGCCGUUGCCCGUGUAGCCGUCAGCCAAAGUUCCGUUGCCCGUGUAGUCAGCUAGGGUCACGUUGCCGUCGUCGCUCAGGGUGCCGUUGCCUGCGUCGGCAUCUGCCAAAGUUCCAUUGCUGCCGUCGUCGCCCAGGGUGCCGUUGCCCGCGUAGACGUCAGCCAAAGUCUCGUUGCCGUCGUCGCCCAGGGUGCCGUUGCCCGCGUAGACGUCAGCCAAAGUACCAUUGCUGCCAUCGUCGCCCAGGGUGCCGUUGCGGGUGUAGACGUCGGACAGGGUGUCGUUGCCAUCUGCCAAAGUUCCGUUGCCCGUGCUGCGAUCGUCGGCCAGGGUGCCGUUGUCAGUGUAGAUGUCGUCCAACGUUACGUUGUGGGUGCCGUCGUCGCCCAGGGUGCCGUUGACCUUGUAGACGUCAGCCAAAGUCACGUUGCCGUCGUCGCCCAGGGUGCUGUUGCCCGUGUAGACAUCAGCCAAAGUCACGUUGCCGUCGUCGCCCAGGGUGCUGUUGCCUGCGUAGGCGUCUGCCAGAGUUCCCUUGCUGCCAUCGUCGCCCAGGGUGCCGUCGCGGGUGCCGUCGUCGCCCAGGGUGCUGUUGCAGCCUAUGUAAUGUGAGCUGUUGGCGCUGAUGAGAAGUCCGUCGUUUUGCGCAUAUUCAACUUUUAGGUGGACAGCUGAUGCCUUAAUUUCCACCUCAUUGGUUUCAAACUUACCUUCUUUUGACUUCCGCAGGAACACAGACUCAGACUGGUGAAGCGUAAGGGCCUUCUUUAUGGAGGGCUCAUUAGGAGACAGCUCU